AGAAGAAGGCAGCAUGUCGGGGCUGGGGAUUUUUUAACUCAUCCCAUUUUUUUUUAAAACAGCGCGGUAAAAAAAGAUCACCUCACAGCUCGUGUCUUGCCUCACCUCGUUGUUAGGACACGAUUGAAUGUAAGUUUGUAUUUUUGCUGUUAUUUCAUGGUGCUUUCCCCAACUUGUAAAAUCACGUCUUUCAAUAACUUAAGUUAUUUGUGACUCUGCUAAGUGCUAACUUACUUGACGCGAAUCGCGUUUUAAAGGCAGUUCUUAAGAUUCGUUAGUCUGUUUUUUCCCACCUUUGAUUAUUACAGCUUGGUUAAAAAGGUUCGAUAUAAAGUUCAUUUUUUAGUAGUAACGUUAACACUUUUAAUGUACAUCUUUUUCUGAUUUUUAAUAUCCGAUGCACAUGUAAAUGUCCAAUAUAAUCCACGCAAAGUUACUCGUAUUUAUUAUCGAGAUUUACAGGCUUAACUGCUAUAUAGUCUUAUUAAAAAGGCCAAAGUGUUUAAAACAAGAGUCAAUAGUAGAUAUUUUAACUGCCUUUUAGCGCGAAUCGUGUUUUGCAGACACGUUGAUAGUCAACGGACUGUUGACCACGGGUCAAGCAUUUCUCAAGUUUUCUACGUCGAAUCUUUGAUCAAAAAGACGAUUUGUCGGGAUAAACCCUGAAAAAGGCUCAAAGACCAGCAAAGGCAAUGUUGUUUCGAAGAAGAGUGGAAAGAUUGUCAACAAGAAGUCAGCUACUGUCAACGCAAAAGUUGCUUCCCUCCUAAAAAAUCUCAUCGAUUUUGAAUGGGAUUUUGUCUAGACCUGGAUGUCCUCUCAGGCCAGAGAAAUCAGAAGCUGUAGUAAGACUUUUUUACCUAUUAACUAAUUAUUAGAAAAAACCUAUUUGGUUAAUGUGUUCCUCACAUCAUGCCUAGGGUUGGGUAUCAAAAGGAAUUUUCCGGUUCCGAUUCCAGUUCCAGUUCUGCCUUACGAUUCCCGGUUCUGAUUCCGAUUCCAUAAUAAAAGAAAUGUGAAAAAUAAUGCACAAUACUUAAACAAUUCCAUUUGUGUUUAUUAAUCACUCUUUAAAUAUUUUAAACAGAGCAUUUCAAUUCAUAUCAAUUUAAAUAAAUCCAACAUCAAAUUUAACAUUCAGAAUUACAACUUAGCAAAACAGUUAGCAAUUUUUCUGAAGAAAAAUUAACAUGUCUGCUUUCUCUGGGAGAAGACGAGACCUUUCCUGGCUUAUUGUAUCUCCAGCUGUGGAGAAAACCCUCUCAGAGGGACUUAAGUAAAGUUGGCUCCAUAUUCACAGAUUCGAAUUUCCCGAGUCAACAGCUCCUGACCUAAACACUCUUAUUACACAAAUAACGCCUCUUUUUUAUAGUAAUGUAGAGAGGCAGCUACAACCCAAGUUUCCUCAAUAUCAGCUUUCCUCUGCGUUGGACAAAAUACAUAAGUCUCUAUGUGUGAACACCUAAGAGACAGAUUCCAAGGGACCGUCAGCAAAGUGCAAAACCCGAAAAGCGAACACAAAAAACAGUCAAUAACUUUACUGUAAUACACUGUACUGUCACCAAACUCAGAUCACAUAUCACUGAUGUCCUGAGUGUUGUACUACAACACUUAUUUGGGAUAAAUGUGUUUUUGUUUAUUUUUUAUGAUUUUUCAUAAUAUUAAAAAAUCAAUAGCUUCACUGUAAUACACUGUACUGUCACCAAACUCAGAACACACAUCACUGAUGUCCUGAUAGAUGUACUACAACAUUUAUUUUCAGGAAAUGUGUUUUUGUUUAUUUUUUAUGAUUUUUCAUAAUAUAAAAAAUCAAUAGCUUUACUGUAAUACACUGUACUGUCACCAAAUUCAGAUCACACAUCACUGAUGUUCUGAUAGUUGUACUACAACAUUUAUUUUUGGAAAAUGUGUGUGUUUUUUUUUUGUUUUGUUUGUUUGUUUGUUUGUUUUUUAUAAUGGGGUAGAUUUGCUUCCUUGUCGUAGCUUUGGAAAUUAAUCCACACUUUAGACUUUUUUUAGACAUGUUUAACACAAAGCGUACCUCAGCACAGCAGCGCGAGUGACUGAUUUCUGUGGUAAGAUGCGUUAAUUUGGUUGCGUGACUGUAAAACAAUUAAUAUUCAUGAGUUAAGACAUGGCUAUUUAAAGUGACCGCUCACAGCGCUUUGCCCGUCAUCUCAUCGGAACCGCGUUUGGAACCGAAACAGAAGCGGUUCUGAAUAAGAACCGGUUCUCGGUUCCCAACCCUAAUCAUGCCAGAUUUUUUUAAAUGUUGUGCCAUGUUGGCAGCUUUUUCUUGUAAGGGUUUUUUAAACUGUGUGGUUCCUUGAAUUGCACUUUUUUCUGUGAGAGAGUUUUUUUUAAAUAUACUGUUAAACAUACAGUUACUGUUACUAUUUAGCUCUUUGAAUUGCACAUUUUUUUCUGUGAGACAGUCUUUACUUUGUGUUUAUUUAAUUGCUUUAAUUUAUUUUUUAAACUUAAAUUUUUCUUUGACAGUGCAAUUAUUGUUAAAAAAAUACUUAUACAUGUUUACAGUGCUAAAAGAUUGUUAACAGCAAA